AUAGCAGGCAUUGCAAUUUGUAACUUUGCUACCUUUUGAAAAUGGUGCUCGCAUUGAAAUUUCAAAAGUAAAUUACAAUGCAAAACCAUUUCCCUUGGCAAUAAUUUGAAUUAAUCUCGUCUCCGCACGCUUGUUGUACUCUAUUAGUGAACUAAUUAACAACUCGCUAUCCUUGAUCGGAACAGACAGAGAAACGAGAAAGUGGAGCGGUCAGUCGCCAGUGAUUUGUGCUGACAAAUUAUGCACAUUUAUUUUCACAUUCUCGUAAAAGCUAAAAGACCCCAGACUAGGGACCCAUUGGCCGCGGUUCGAGUACAGUGUCGCCAGAAGAGCACAUAAUAAACUUGUAAUGCGUGACAGGAUGUGCAUAUGUAUGAACUGUGUGUGUGUGUUUAUGUGUGUGUAUAACCAUAGUGAACUGAACCAAAAGCCAUAAGUGGUUAUGCCUCAUUUAGCAGUCGAUGCAUCUUUUAUAUCGCAUCGCAGUAUUCGGCUUGACUUUUAGGGUUCUGUUUAAUCCACAUUGAUUGGAAUUUAUUCGUAUGUGCUUGUAAUAUAGUAUCAAUAAUUACAAUCUCAGUGCUUUUGGACUAUUAUUUAUAUUUACGACUUGGGAGCUCUGUCUUUGAGCAGCGCUUUA